rnacentral:rRNA from 1 species
UACGAAGGGGGCUAGCGUUGUUCGGAAUUACUGGGCGUAAAGCGCACGUAGGCGGAAUGUUAAGUCAGGGGUGAAAUCCCGGGGCUCAACCCCGGAACUGCCUUUGAUACUGGCAUUCUCGAGUCCGGAAGAGGUGAGUGGAAUUCCGAGUGUAGAGGUGAAAUUCGUAGAUAUUCGGAGGAACACCAGUGGCGAAGGCGGCUCACUGGCCCGUUACCGACGCUCAGGCGCGACAGCGUGGGGAGCAAACAGG